rnacentral:rRNA from 1 species
UACGAAGGGGGCUAGCGUUGUUCGGAAUUACUGGGCGUAAAGGGCGCGUAGGCGGCUUGUCUAGUCGGGCGUGAAAAGCCUGGGCUUAACCCGGGAACUGCGCUCGAUACUGAUAGGCUUGAGUGUGGGAGAGGAUGGUGGAAUUCCCAGUGUAGAGGUGAAAUUCGUAGAUAUUUGGAAGAACACCGGUGGCGAAGGCGGCCAUCUGGACCACAACUGACGCUGAGGCGCGAAAGCGUGGGGAGCAAACAGG